rnacentral:rRNA from 1 species
UACGCGAAGAACCUUACCAGGUCUUGACAUCCCAAUGACCGUCCUAGAGAUAGGAUUUUCCCUUCGGGGACAUUGGUGACAGGUGGUGCAUGGUUGUCGUCAGCUCGUGUCGUGAGAUGUUGGGUUAAGUCCCGCAACGAGCGCAACCCUUAUUUUUAGUUGCCAUCAUUUAGUUGGGCACUCUAAGGAGACUGCCGGUGACAAACCGGAGGAAGGUGGGGAUGACGUCAAAUCAUCAUGCCCCUUAUGACCUGGGCUACACACGUGCUACAAUGGACGAUACAAAGAGUCGCAAACUCGCGAGGGUAAGCUAAUCUCAUAAAAUCGUUCUCAGUUCGGAUUGUAGGCUGCAACUCGCCUGCAUGAAGCCGGAAUCGCUAGUAAUC